rnacentral:lncRNA from 1 species
GUGAGUAAAAUAUCCUUACAAGCUUGCUCACAUAUCAAUUUAUAGUAUAUUUAUAAAUCUAGUGAAAAUUGAUCAAGUUAUUAUUAUUUAAAAAAACAGAAAAGAAGAACAUUCGAACCAACACAGCCUUGUACAGACAAGCUGCGCUCUGGAGCAGUUUUUGAAGACAACAUCAUCGUCCCAGCGUUUUUUCACUUUCAAGUCCAUCUUCUCAGAAGUUUCUGAAAAUUUGUUUUUGAGCAAAGGAUUCCCACUCAAUAUAUUUUCCAUUCUAAUUCUUUCAACUUCCGCGCUAUGUUGUUCCUCCUGAAAAUCAAAUACAAAAGUGAAUUAAAUCAUAUUAAAUGAUGAAAAAAUGUCAAAUGAAUUUAGCUUCUUGUAGAGGAAAAAAUAAAGAGAAAUACAAACCUU